rnacentral:lncRNA from 10 species
UCAGAAACUGCUACUCAAGUGUACCCUCCUGGUUCUAGGGUUCCAUUGUGGUGACAACAAAUUACAAGCAGCUUACUUCCUCAGAGCCCAUCACUACCAACACCAACUGACAGCUUCGAGAAGGACCUCAGUACCACUUUCCCUAACCAAAAUUUUCCUCUUUACUCCAAGCCCUGACAAGGAUAAAUCUCUAAACUUUAGAAACAAUGUAAUUUUACAAAUUAACUUAUACGCAGGGUUACUUCCUUUCCAAUUUGAUCAGGGAAUGCAGGGCAAGAAUAACCCAAAAUAUGCAAUGUAAAUCAUGUUGAAAUUAAAAUGUAUUUCCAUCUCCACCCCUCCACGAUGGCAUAAUUUCAAAUCAACUUAUAUAAUGCAUAUCUAGUCCUCUGAAAAAUCAUUUUUAAAAGUAGGGCUGUUAUUAUUCUGUCCUAGCUAUCGCAGAUCAAUUUAGAUUUGUUCUGUAAGAUUUCAGAUUUUCCCCAAAUGACACAGGUGGUUAUUUUAUAUGUAUCAGUCAUUAAAAGAUUAAUCCUUUUUAACUAAAAAGAGACAGUACGGUCAUUUACAAGUUAAAGUAGAUUUAUUCUGAGCUGGUGCUCUGGGGUCUUACUUCUCUAAAAUUUUGUGAUUUACAAUACACCACAUGUAGGAAACAGCUUCCAAAAUUUGUAUUGCUUCCUACAAAUCAGACAGGACUUUCAGGAGAAGGAGCCUAGGAUAGAUUCUCUGUUAAAUUUUGGAAUCCCUUCUCUCAAGAGUAACCUACUAUAAACUAUUUACCAAGCCUUUGUGAAAUCUGUAUAACAGGUUACUACUCCAUUGAGCAAGAAAACACAGGAAACAGGAUUCGAAGAUUUAAUGUUACUGCUCAUACUCCAAAUUAUAGAAUGCUUAAGAUAAUUAAAUUAUCUGACUUUUAUAAUUCACUACACGGUGACCUCAAAUUUACCUCAUUAGAAUAUUUAGUACUUCUGCACUUCUCCCACUUCUCAAAGUUUUCCCAUACCAGGAUUCCCCACCACCUAGGAACAGCCUUUGCAAGAUACCAAUGCUCUCUAAAUCCCCAAAGCAGGGUCUAUUUCCUGAUCGAACAAAGAGCAACAAAGAAGUGGGUGGUAACCACCUCUCUGAGGCAAGCCAGGACCCAUGGAGUCUGAUCUACAACACAAGCAGUAGCAGUUCCACAUCUCCCUACCACCUCUUAUUUCCUACGAAGUCUUUCUGCCUGAAACUGGAAAACCCGAACUAUUAUUGAGGAAGUGAAGCCCUUCCAUUUGAAUCCUGAGAAAGACGCGCUCAAAGAACCCAGCGAACAAAGGAGAGGGUUGGAGCCCACGCAAAACAUGGGUGUGAUAAAGCCACACGCGACCUGAGCCCCCACCCUCAGUAACUACUCUCCAGCGCCCACCGGGAGGAGGGGUCCGGGGAAAGGAUUGGCAUCCUCUGCUUCUGCAGAAAACAUGGCUACCAACAGCUUCUGUAUCCACCUGCGGAGGAGACUGACUGCUCUGUUAUUCCCCCAGCAUCUGUGAAGAGGCUCUGACUGGCUAAAGUGAAGGAGUCUGUAGCUUUAGGGGAAGACAGAGCCACAAGAUGGAAGGAGCUUGGAUGUCUGAACUAUUCCAUGGAGAAAAGCUGCAGCCAACGAAGAACACCUGCAAUGGACUCUUAACCUGGGGGUGACGACAACCACUGAAAUAUGCUGCAUCUUAGUCCAGGGAUUUUUAAAGUGUGGUUCCUGGAAGAGCUGGAUCAGAGUCAUCUGUGUUGAUGGUUUAACAUAAAGAUUUUCGAGCCCCAAGACUCAAGUAGGACAAGGAAUUUGAAUUUUUAAGCAGCUCACCUGACUUGUCUGUCCUCUAAUGUCUGAAGACAUCUGACCUCUGCUCUUUCAGUAAAAGCAACAAUGGUUUUAUGAGCAUUGUCGUCACAUCUCUCCACUCAAGGGAUCCUUCUCAUUUCUCCCAGCUGAGGUCACCCACAGCUGCUGCUUCUAACUGCUGGCUUCCAGCCUGCUGUCUGCCAGCUGGCUCUACCCUCUCCUAUAACACGGCAGAGAGUAGCUGUGGUCUCCUGCGUGCUCACCCUCUGCUCCCUUGGUCCUGCUCCAUGCUUUGGUCCUGCACUUAAAUUUUACAAGCAUACUCUCUUUCUCUUAAGAGAAACCUGAUACAAUUUCAAGGUGGAAUACUUGCAGUGAUGGUCAAGAUGAAAGAAUGAUUUUCAAUGCCAUUUAGAGGAAAUCUUGGGAUCAACUUGGGAAAAGACGGAGGCUCCUGGCUCUGAUCUUUGGGGACUUCAGAUUUUCUGGAUCAAGGUGAGUCUUCUUGAGGCUUUACCAAGGAAACAGGCAGUUUUAGAGUUGGCCUUAAGGAUGUUCUCUGGUGUCAUCAAAGAAAUGGAAAUGCAAAGCAGAGACAUGUGCAUUUAGAUAUGUGUAAGACUGUAGACUAUUUUUAGUGGAAAAUGGCUGCUGAGUGUGUGGAAAGAGUAUAAAAGAUUUCAGUGGGAAGAUUCUACAAUCAUUUGAGAUUCUCCAUUGCUGGAAAAUUCUCAAAUUAGGCUUAUGAAGGCAAUUUGAUUUAGCAAACAGCUCUCUGGACCAAGCAAAUCUUCUCAGCAGGGAUGGAAUUUGAACUGCACUUGUCCCUGGUUCUCACCUUCCCUGAGAAGCAGUGCAUCUGCAGUGUCCCAGGUGAUGCCCCCCACAGGCCUUGAAGCUUGUCUUCCAGAAGAGCCUUCAUUUCAGGGGCAGCAUUCCAGGAAGCACGCCCAUGAAACACUCAUGAGGAGGAACUGGGCUGCCAAUUAUGACUUGUCACUGCUCCAUCAACAUAAAAGCUCGGCAGCACUCAGAUGGCUCUUGAAAAUCUUUGAGAUAUAAUCUGAAAGGAGGUCCCAGUUUCUGCCCCGGGCUGUUUGCAUCAUCAACCUGCAAAAUUCCAAUCUUGGAACUUGCUGAGAUUUUCAUUCUGAGACUCUCUGCCCUGGGCCUUGAGGAUAGCCAGAAGAAUACUAUAUUUCUUCUGCCUCUCUUUCUCUUUCUAUCUAAAGAGGUCAGGAUUAUAUAUCCACUUUGCUGAAUAUAGAAUCAAACCCAAUUGCCAUCAGCAAGUGCUGUAUAUCACCUACCACACCUGGGACCAGGCAUCAACAAGACCUUGACAGGGCCAGAAGCCUCAAGCCCUCAUUGCCAAGCCCAUUAAAAUCAGGAACUCAAUCUCAUUAAGGAAGGAGUGCAAUGGAUAUAGCCAGACAGGAGGAUUUCCACUUCAGUAUUAUCCUGAAUAGUGAACAACCAUCUCUGCUUUUCUCAGGGAGAAAGAUGUGGUAACAGUCACAAUGAUAGUAGACGAUGGUGACUGUUUAAUUUGUCAUGGCUAACAUAUAUGGUUAGCAAAUUGAGUUUCCUUUUAGGUAUAGUCUGAAUUGAACUGAAGUUCAUUAUAAUUCCCCUAAGUUGAUCUGUGAGGGCAUUUUAGCCUUCUUGGUAAAAUUAAAUAAUAUCAGUCAAAAAGGCUGUUAAACCAAUUCUUACACUUGAAAGCUUCCAGUUAUUCUAAUAAUUUGGAAUCUGUGUCUCCCCCUCUGUGGCAAUGAGGCUGUUGCUUGCUUUUCCCAAGAGACUGUAUUGCAUCUUUCUUGUUUUCUGAGAUGAGAAACAACCUCAAGGUCAUGCCCAGUGAUAUGGUUUGGCUCUGUGCCCCCACCCAAAUCUCAUCCCGAAUUGUAAUCCCCACAUGUCGGAGGAGGGGCUUGGUGGGAGGUGACUGGAUUAUGGGGGUGUAUUUACCCCUUGUUUUCAUGAUAGUGAGUUCUCAUGAGAUUUGAUGGUUUAAAACUGUGUGGCACCGCCCCCUGCAAGCUCCCUCUCUCUCCUGCCACCAAGUAAGACGUGCCUUGCUUCUUCUUUGCCUUCUGCCAUGAUUGUAAGUUUUCUGAGGCUUCCCCAGCCAUGCAGAACUGUGU